CCAACGGCCCUCUUUAGGGCCACUCAUUUAAAGGUAAUUAUUAAU
rfam:Parastrongyloides trichosuri strain KNP genome assembly, scaffold: PTRK_scaffold0000093